CCUACGGGUGACAGCAGUGAGGAAUAUUGGUCAAUGGUCGGGAGACUGAACCAGCCAAGCCGCGUGAGGGAUGAAGGUACAGAGUAUCGUAAACCUCUUUUGUCAGGGAACAAAGGCGGGGACGUGUCCCCGGAUGAGUGUACCUGAAGAAAAAGCAUCGGCUAACUCCGUGCCAGCAGCCGCGGUAAUACGGAGGAUGCGAGCGUUAUCCGGAUUUAUGGGGGUUAAAGGGUGCGCAGGCGGUCUGUUAAGUCAGCGGUCAAAGCCCGGGGCUCAACCCCGGCCCGCCGUUGAAACUGGCAGUCUCGAGUUGGAGAGAAGUAUGCGGAAUGCGCGGUGUAGCGGUGAAAUGCAUAGAUAUCGCGCAGAACUCCGAUUGCGAAGGCAGCAUGCCGGCUCCACACUGACGCUGAGGCACGAAAGCGUGGGUAUCGAACAGGAUUAGAUACCCUGGUAGUC
rnacentral:rRNA from 1 species